UACAGAGGUCCCGAGCGUUGUUCGGAUUCACUGGGCGUAAAGGGUGCGUAGGUGGCUGGGAAAGUUUGAUGUGAAAGCUCAGGGCUUAACCCUGAAAUGGCAUUGAAUACUGCCUGGCUGGAGGUUUGGAGGGGGGACUGGAAUUCUUGGUGUAGCAGUGAAAUGCGUAGAUAUCAAGAGGAACACCAGUGGCGAAGGCGGCUCACUGGACCGGAACUGACGCUGAGGCGCGAAAGCGUGGGGAGCAAACAGG
rnacentral:rRNA from 1 species